GUAGGUGACCUGCGGAGGAUCAUUCAUAAUAAGUGUUUUAUGGCACUUUUUAAAUCCAUAUCCACCUUGUGUGCAAUGUCAGUUGAUCUUCUUUAUGGAGAUCGACCAAACAUCAACCUAUUUUUUUAACUCUUUGUCUGAAAAAUAUUAUGAAUAAAUAAUUCAAAAUACAACUUUCAACAACGGAUCUCUUGGCUCUCGCAUCGAUGAAGAACGCAGCGAAAUGCGAUACGUAAUGUGAAUUGCAGAAUUCAGUGAAUCAUCGAAUCUUUGAACGCAUAUUGCGCUCUUUGGUAUUCCGAAGAGCAUGCUUGUUUGAGUAUCAGUAAACACCUCAAAGCUUUUGAUUUUUUUUAAAAGUUUUGGACUUGAGCAAUCCCAACACCGGUCUUUUACAGAUCGGCGGCGGGUUGCUUGAAAUGCAGGUGCAGCUGGACAUUCUCCUGAGCUAAAAGCAUAUUUAUUUAGUCCCGUCAAACGGAUUAUUACUUUUGCUGCAGCUAAUAUAAAGGGAGUUUGACCGUAUUGGCUGACUGAUGCAGGAUUUCACAAGGGUCGGCAACGAUUCUUGUAAAACUCGAUCUCAAAUCAAGUAAGACUACCCGCUGAACUUAAGCAUAUCAAUAAGCGGAGGAAAAGAAACUAACAAGGAUUCCCCUAGUAACGGCGAGUGAAGCGGGAUGAGCUCAAAUUUAAAAUCUGGCUGGUUUACUAGUCCGAAUUGUAGUUUAUAGAAGCGUUUUCGGUGGCAGCCUGGGUAUAAAUCCUUUGGAAUAGGGUAUCAUAGAGGGUGAGAAUCCCGUCUUUGACUCAGUGCAUGCUACUAUGUGAUACGUUUUCAAAGAGUCGAGUUGUUUGGGAAUGCAGCUCAAAAUGGGUGGUAAAUUUCAUCUAAGGCUAAAUAUUGGCGAGAGACCGAUAGCGAACAAGUACCGUGAGGGAAAGAUGAAAAGAACUUUGAAAAGAGAGUUAAACAGUGCGUGAAAUUGUUGAAAGGGAAACGUUUGACACCAGUUAUGCGGGUGGAAAAUCAGUCUUUUGCAAUGGGGAGUUGUGGGCGUUCAGACCGCAAGGCUGGCGUUUGCUUCAUCUUUGUUGUAAGUGAUGCACUUUUUCAUUUGCAGGUCAACAUCAGUUUGCUUUGCUGGACAAAACCCCAAGGGAAGGUGGCAGCUUAGGCUGUGUUAUAGCCCUGGGGCGAUACAGUGGAGUGGACUGAGGUUUCGCAGUGUGUGCUCUCGGGCAAGGCUGACUGGGUGCUAUGGGAUCGUUCGGCGUACAAUGCAUGCAUUUUGCGUCGUGUCUUUUUCAUACUCGCUCAACUCGGCUCUCCACGCUUAGG
rnacentral:rRNA from 1 species